rnacentral:RNase_P_RNA from 1 species
CGAAUGGUCGCGAUCCUAAGGGAUCGAGGAAAGUCCGGACUUCACAGGACAGGGUGCCGGGUAACACCCGGAAGGAGCGAUCCUUGGAAAGGGUCAUAGAAACGGAAACCGCCUUUAGAGGCAAGGAUGGAAAGGUGAGGUAAGAGCUCACCGACGAGCGGGAGACCGUUCGGUCUGACAACCCCCACCCGAAGCAAGACCAAGUCGAGGGGCUAUUAGGUGGUCCGCCAAUCCCUCUGGUAGGUCGCUUGAGGAACAUGGUAACAUGUUUCCAGAUAGAUGACCAUUCACGACAGAAUCCGGCUUACAGCUUCAUUC